ACCGGGGCGACGAUCAGUAGGGGUUCUGAGGAGGAAGGUCCCCCACAUUGGAACUGAGACACGGUCCAAACUCCUACGGAAGGCAGCAG
rnacentral:rRNA from 1 species